AGUGAACGCUGGCGGCAGGCCUAACACAUGCAAGUCGAACGGCAGCAUAGGGGAGCUUGCUCCCUGGGUGGCGAGUGGCGGACGGGUGAGGAAUACAUGGGAAUCUACCCUGUCGUGGGGGAUAACGUAGGGAAACUUACGCUAAUACCGCAUACGACCGAGAGGUGAAAGCGGCGGACCGCAAGGCGUCGCGCGACUGG
rnacentral:rRNA from 1 species